ensembl:miRNA
AGCUGUUGUGUCACUUCCUCAUGCUGACAUAUUUACUAGAGGGUAAAAUUAAUAACCUUCUAGUAAGAGUGGCAGUCGAAGGGAAGGGCUCAUCUGACUUCUGGAAACCUAU